rnacentral:rRNA from 1 species
UACGGGAGGGUGCGAGCGUUGUCCGGAAUCACUGGGCGUAAAGGGCGCGUAGGUGGCCUGUGGAAGUCUGCGGUGAAAGCCCGGCGCUCAACGCCGGGUCGGCCGUGGAUACUCUCGGGCUCGAGCUUACUAGAGGCAGAUGGAAUUCCGGGUGUAGCGGUGGAAUGCGUAGAGAUCCGGAAGAACACCGGUGGCGAAGGCGGUCUGCUGGGGUAAUGCUGACACUGAUGCGCGGACAGCGUGGGGAGCAAACAGG